GCCGAUGUGGUGGAACUGGUAGACACGCUGUCUUGAGGGGGCAGUAACGAAAGUUGUGCCGGUUCGAGUCCGGCCAUCGGCAUCA
rnacentral:tRNA from 1 species